rnacentral:rRNA from 1 species
CCUACGGGGGGCAGCAGUGAGGAAUAUUGGUCAAUGGGCGGGAGCCUGAACCAGCCAAGUCGCGUGAGGGAAGACGGUCCUAUGGAUUGUAAACCUCUUUAGGCGGGGAGCAAUGCCGGGCACGCGUGCCCGGAGGGAGAGUACCCGCAGAAUAAGCAUCGGCAAACUCCGUGCCAGCAGCCGUGGUAAUUCGGAGGAGGCGAGCGUUAUUCGGAUUUAGUGGGUUUAAAGGGUGCGUAGGCUGAUUUUUAAGUCAGCGGUAAAAUGUCCGGACUCAAACCGGGCCGGCCGUUGAAACUGGGGUUCUUGAGUGGGCGAGAAGUAUGCGGAAUGCGUGGUGUAGCGGUGAAAUGCAUAGAUAUCACGCAGAACUCCGAUUGCGAAGGCAGCAUACCGGCGCCCGACUGACGCUGAGGCACGAAAGCGUGGGGAUCGAACAGGAUUAGAUACCCUAGUAGUC